CACACCGCCCGUCACACCAUGGGAGUUUGUUGCACCAGAAGCAGGUAGCUUAACCGCAAGGGGGGCGCUUGCCACCGGUGUGGCCGAUGACUGGGGUG
rnacentral:rRNA from 1 species